AUGGCAAAACACUUUGGUUUGCUCUUGGUUCUUGCCUUUGUUCUUGUUGUGACGGCUGAAGAUUGUACCGUCGACCUAAAAGGGCUUAUUCGGGAGUGCAAACAAUAUGUGAUGUUUCCCGCGAGCCCAAAGAUAACUCCUUCGAGUGCAUGUUGUAGUGUGGUUCAGAAGGUCAAUUCACCGUGCCUGUGCUCCAAGGUCACCAAGGAGAUCGAGAAGGUGGUAUGCAUGGAUAAGGUUGUGUAUGUCGCUGAUUACUACAAGAAUCCACUCAAACCUGGCUCCGACUGUGGCAGUAAGUGUUAUAUUUUGAGCCACGUAUUAUGUACCACUAAUACUUGUCAUGAACUAUGCAUGACAUGCUUUUGUUUUCUAAUAUUUUCGCAGGUUACCAUGUCCCAUCUCAAAGACGAUAGAUGGAUGUUUCGUAUCUGGUAA
rnacentral:rRNA from 1 species